UUAGUGGCGGACGGGUGAGUAACGCGUGGAAAACCUGCCGUAUACUGGGGGAGUAACACUUAGAAAUAGGUGCUAAUACCGCAUAAGCGCACAGCUUCGCAUGAAGCGGUGUGAAAAACUCUGGUGGUAUACGAUGGUUCCGCGUCUGAUUAGCUAGUUGGUGGGGUAAUGGCCUACCAAGGCAACGAUCAGUAGCCGGCCUGAGAGGGUGAACGGCCACAUUGGGACUGAGACACGGCCCAAACUCCUACGGGAGGCAGCAG
rnacentral:rRNA from 1 species